AGCCCCUAGCGCAGACGGCGGAGAGCAGAGAGGGAGCGCGCCUUGGCUCGCUGGCCUUGGCGGCGGCUCCUCAGGAGAGCUGGGGCGCCCACGAGAGGAUCCCUCACCCGGGUCUCUCCUCAGGGAUGACAUCAUCCGUCCACCUCCUUGUCUUCAAGGACCACCUCCUCUCCAUGCUGAGCUGCUGCCAAGGGGCCUGCUGCCCAUCUACACCUCACGAGGGCACUAGGAGCACGGUUUCCUGGAUCCCACCAACAUACAAAGCAGCCACUCACUGACCCCCAGGACCAGGAUGGCAAAGGAUGAAGAGGACCGGAACUGACCAGCCAGCUGUCCCUCUUACCUAAAGACUUAAACCAAUGCCCUAGUGAGGGGGCAUUGGGCAUUAAGCCCUGACCUUUGCUAUGCUCAUACUUUGACUCUAUGAGUACUUUCCUAUAAGUCUUUGCUUGUGUUCACCUGCUAGCAAACUGGAGUGUUUCCCUCCCCAAGGGGGUGUCAGUCUUUGUCGACUGACUCUGUCAUCACCCUUAUGAUGUCCUGAAUGGAAGGAUCCCUUUGGGAAAUUCUCAGGAGGGGGACCUGGGCCAAGGGCUUGGCCAGCAUCCUGCUGGCAACUCCAAGGCCCUGGGUGGGCUUCUGGAAUGAGCAUGCUACUGAAUCACCAAAGGCACGCCCGACCUCUCUGAAGAUCUUCCUAUCCUUUUCUGGGGGAAUGGGGUCGAUGAGAGCAACCUCCUAGGGUUGUUGUGAGAAUUAAAUGAGAUAAAAGAGGCCUCAGGCAGGAUCUGGCAUAGAGGAGGUGAUCAGCAAAUGUUUGUUGAAAAGGUUUGACAGGUCAGUCCCUUCCCACCCCUCUUGCUUGUCUUACUUGUCUUAUUUAUUCUCCAACAGCACUCCAGGCAGCCCUUGUCCACGGGCUCUCCUUGCAUCAGGGCUAAUCUCGGGCCUUGUCGAAGGAAGAGGCUGCAGACGUUAAUGAGGUUAGCUGCUGGAUUCCAGUAUUCGUCGCAUAAGGAUCCUUCUUUGUCUGCGAAGGAAAAACACACUGAUUAUCAUAAUGAGCAGGUUCCCAGUGCCCCCGACAAGCCCCUGCUGGUGUCUCCAUCUCCUGCCAAGCAUCCUCCAGUGCCUCCUCCUGUGGGCCUGGCCUCAGGGCUAUGGACAGACUCCUGUCCCAUCCCAGAGACCCCUCGUGAUCGUGCCCUGGCACGUGGGCCGUGGCCCGGCUGGGUCGGCUGAAGAACUGCGGAUGGAAGCUGCGGAAGAGGCCCUGAUGGGGCCCACCAUCCCGGACCCAAGUCUUCUUCCUGGCGGGCCUCUCGUCUCCUUCCUGGUUUGGGCGGAAGCCAUCACCUGGAUGCCUACGUGGGAAGGGACCUCGAAUGUGGGACCCCAGCCCCUCUCCAGCUCGAAAUCCCUCCACAGCCACGGGGACACCCUGCACCUAUUCCCACGGGACAGGCUGGACCCAGAGACUCUGGACCCGGGGCCUCCCCUUGAGUAGAGACCCGCCCUCUGACUGAUGGACGCCGCUGACCUGGGGUCAGACCCGUGGGCUGGACCCCUGCCCACCCCGCAGGAACCCUGAGGCCUAGGGGAGCUGUUGAGCCUUCAGUGUCUGCAUGUGGGAAGUGGGCUCCUUCACCUACCUCACAGGGCUGUUGUGAGGGGCGCUGUGAUGCGGUUCCAAAGCACAGGGCUUGGCGCACCCCACUGUGCUCUCAAUAAAUGUGUUUCCUGUCUUAACAAAAA
rnacentral:lncRNA from 1 species